GCGCCUGUGGCGAAACUGGAAGACGCGCUGCAUUCAAAAGGCGGUGACCGAAGGUUGUGCCGGUUCGAUUCCGGCCAGGCGCACCA
rnacentral:tRNA from 1 species